rnacentral:rRNA from 1 species
GAUGAACGCUAGCGGCAGGCCUAACACAUGCAAGUCGAGGGGCAGCAUGGCGUAGCGAUACGCUGAUGGCGACCGGCGCACGGGUGCGUAACGCGUAUGCAACCUGUCCGGCGCAGGGGGGUAGCCCGUCGAAAGGCGGGGUAAUCCCGCAUGAACCGGUAUUCCCGCAUGGGGGGUGCUGGCAAAGUGGAGACGCGGGGCCGGAGGGGCAUGCGUGCCAUUAGCUGGCUGGAGGGGUAACGGCCCACCAGGGCGAUGAUGGCUAGGGGGUCUGAGAGGAUGGUCCCCCACACUGGUACUGAGACACGGACCAGACUCCUACGGGAGGCAGCAGUGAGGAAUAUUGGUCAAUGGGCGGAAGCCUGAACCAGCCAUCCCGCGUGAAGGAAGACAGCCUUACGGGUUGUAAACUUCUUUUCUGUCAGAAGAAUAAGCUUGUCGAGACGAGUGAUGCCGGUAUGACGAGGAAUAAGCAGUCGCUAACUCCGUCGCC